rnacentral:lncRNA from 1 species
UUUUUCAGUAUCCUUCUUCUCAUUCACACCCUUUAUUUAUUCACAUUUAUUUAUUUAUUUAUUUGGCCUUGGAGCCACCUGCUUGGCUGGUGGAAAGACUUGGAAUUCCCUUCUAUUUAAUGAUGGUGAUAAGGGGGAAAAAAGGGAGAUCAUCUUAAUGUGCAGUCACCUCUGCAGGCUGCAGCUGAUGGGAGAGUGCCUCAGUUUGUGUGGCAGCUGUGAGUCUGUGUGCUCUGGAGUCAAUGUGUGGAAUCCCAAGGACUGACCGAACGCUUAUAAGAUGUGACCUGGAAAAUGAGUCAUUUCUGGCAUGAGCACAAAGGCUGAGUUACUGGGAUCAUUCACAGUGACAUAGGUACCAGGGAUCCUGCGUGUCAAGCAAGGUGAAUGAAGCCUGUCAAGGCACUUGCUGAGUGGGGUAACUAUACAUGUGUGACUAUUACUUCAGCUGCUAAAAACUGAUCUACCAUAACACAUUUUCUCAUGCUGUUUGUGAAGCCUAGUGCCAGGCAUCACCUAAUACUUGAUGUUACUACUUUUAUUGCUGACAGAGGUCCUGUUGGACAAAGGGCUACAGAUGGCUGAGCAGAAGUCCUGAAAACAACUGUCUCCAUCAUCUUGGCUGCCCAGAAUCGCUACAGGUAGCACUGCUGCACAUAGAGUUGUAUGAGUGCCCCAGAUGAGCAGUCCUUUAAGAAUGAAAAACCAAAACCACACCAGAGAUCCAGCUGGCAAAGGAUGAAAUAAUGAUGACAAUAACUGUGAAGUUCUCCAGUGACUGAUAGUGGUCCUGACCUGAUAGAAAGAUGCAUCAGUUUAUAUGUACAUGGUUAAGUGUGUCUUCAAGCAUAGCUAUAAUUCCACUAAAAUGGUUAUGUAAAAUGAAAGCAGGCUAGAGGAUUUCAUGAAGAGUAAUAACCUCGCUUUUUCUUUGUUGUUUUUCCCUUUAUGUCAUAGAAGUUGAAAUAGAAGUGUUUUAUUCUAAUAGAAGUGUUUUAUUCUAAUAGCUUUGGCCUGCCUUAAAUGGAUUAAGAAAUCUAGCUACAUGAUAAAUCAGCUGCAUUGCUAUAAGGAACAUGCCAUUACACUUAAAAUAAAUGCUAGUACCCGAUCCCCAAUGUCCACUAUUUUCUCAUAAUUUAAAUUAAAUGAAAAUAUGCUAUUCUUCCAUUAUAAAAUAUGCAGCAUAAGGAGUAUCAUUGCAUGUUGUAAAGACACAUGUCCACUUGAUUUCCAUUGAGAAAAAAUAGUGAACCAAAAAUUUAAAGGGAAUUAUAACUAGUUUAGUAAUAGACACUGAACAACUCAUGUAUCAACGAACAUCUGCUGCUUAUGAAUAUUUGGUGUAUUUGCUGCUCCUUAAAUCACAUCUUACUGCUUUAUCACUCUUUUGAUAAUAGCCAUUAGCUAAAAGUCAGAACUAUCCAGCUAAUGUUUUAAAAUGCAUAUGGUCAAUUAUAAAAACAAGUUUUUCUUACAUACCUAGUAAUCAGUUUCAAAUGCCAAAUAAUACUAUUUACAAAAGAUUCCAGACCACAUUAAUUCUUUUUGUGUCAUUUUUAAAGAAAUAUAUCUAGAUUUUAGGCAGAAAUAGUUUUCCAGUGACCUGUGAAACUUGUAUUUUAUCACAUUCUUGUAUUUUAUCACAUGCAGCACUACUGAAAAAUGAAAAAAGGUUGUUCAUCCCCUAUAUCUUUGAGAAACAAGUUUCCCAUUUUAUUAAUCAUGCUUCAAAUGUAAUAUUUUUAAUAAACAGUUAUAGCAAUAGCAAUC